rnacentral:rRNA from 1 species
AGACCCGAAACCCGGUGAUCUAGCCAUGGGCAGGUUGAAGGUUGGGUAACACUAACUGGAGGACCGAACCGACUAAUGUUGAAAAAUUAGCGGAUGACCUGUGGCUGGGGGUGAAAGGCCAAUCAAACCGGGAGAUAGCUGGUUCUCCCCGAAAGCUAUUUAGGUAGCGCCUCGUGAAUUCAUCUCCGGGGGUAGAGCACUGUUUCGGCUAGGGGGCCAUCCCGGCUUACCAACCCGAUGCAAACUGCGAAUACCGGAGAAUGUUAUCACGGGAGACACACGGCGGGUGCUAACGUCCGUCGUGAAGAGGGAAACAACCCAGACCGCCAGCUAAGGUCCCAAAGUCAUGGUUAAGUGGGAAACGAUGUGGGAAGGCCCAGACAGCCAGGAUGUUGGCUUAGAAGCAGCCAUCAUUUAAAGAAAGCGUAAUAGCUCACUGGUCGAGUCGGCCUGCGCGGAAGAUGUAACGGGGCUAAACCAUGCACCGAAGCUGCGGCAGCGACGCUGAUGCGUUGUUGGGUAGGGGAGCGUUCUGUAAGCCUGCGAAGGUGGCCUGUGAGGGUUGCUGGAGGUAUCAGAAGUGCGAAUGCUGACAUAAGUAACGAUAAAGCGGGUGAAAAGCCCGCUCGCCGGAAGACCAAGGGUUCCUGUCCAACGUUAAUCGGGGCAGGGUGAGUCGACCCCUAAGGCGAGGCCGAAAGGCGUAGUCGAUGGGAAACGGGUUAAUAUUCCCGUACUUGGUGUUACUGCGAAGGGGGGACGGAGAAGGCUAUGUUGGCCGGGCGACGGUUGUCCCGGUUUAAGCGUGUAGGUGUGUGUUCCAGGUAAAUCCGGUUCACUUUAACACUGAGGCGUGAUGACGAGGCACUACGGUGCUGAAGCAAC